rnacentral:rRNA from 1 species
CCAAUAGCGUAUAUUAAAGUUGUUGCAGUUAAAAAGCUCAUAGUUGAACUUCGGGGUCUACCCAUUGGUCAGGCUUAAUUGUCUGCACUGGUGAGAUGGAUCUCUACCUUCUGAGGAACUUUCAUGCCAUUUAUUUGGUGUAAUGGGAAAUCAGGACUGUUACUUUGAAAAAAUUAGAGUGUUUAAAGCAGACUAUCGUCUGAAUACAUUAGCAUGGAAUAAUGAAAUAGGACGGAUUGAUUCUAUUUCGUUGGUUUCUAGAAUCACCGUAAUGAUUAAUAGGGAUAGUUGGGGGCAUUAGUAUUCAAUUGUCAGAGGUAAAAUUCUUGGAUUUAUUGAAGACUAAUUAUUGCGAAAGCAUUUGCCAAGGAUGUUUUCAUUAAUCAAGAACGAAAGUUAGGGAUCGAAGACGAUCAGAUACCGUCGUAGUCUUAACCAUAAACUAUGCCGACUAGGGAUCGGACGAAGUUAAUUUUAUAAUGACGCUUUUGGCACCUUACG